rfam:Vibrio cincinnatiensis DSM 19608 genome assembly, contig: BS67DRAFT_scaffold00005.5
UAUCACUAAGGAUUGUUUUUCUCACAAAAUAAUUCCUGUGAGAGACGGAAAGGAAGCGAAUUAACCACAUAGGUUGAUUUAAAUUGAUAACAAUAAGGAUUGG